rnacentral:lncRNA from 1 species
GUCUCCACUAUGUUGUCAUGACUCCAGUCUGUCGGCCUCCACUAUGUUGUCAUGUCUCCAGUCUGUAGGCCUCCACUACGUUGUCAUAUCUCCAGUCUAGUGGUCUCCAGUCUGUAGGCCUCCACUAUGAUGUCAUGUCCCCAGUCCGUAGUCCUCCACUAUAAUGUAAUGUCCCCAGUCCGUCGUCCUCCACUAUGAUGUAAUGCCUCCAGUCUGUAGGCCUCCACUAUAAUGUCAUGUCCACAGUCGGUAGGCCUCCACUAUGAUGUCAUGUCCCCAGUCCGUAGUCCUCAUCUAUAAUGUCAUGUCCCCAGUCGGUAGGCCUCCACUAUAAUGUCAUGUCCCCAGUCCGUAGUCCUCCACUAUGAUGUAAUGUUUCCAGUCUGUAGGCCUCCACUAUGAUUUAAUGUCUCCAGUUUGUAGCCCUCUACCGUGAUGUCAUGUCUCCAGUCUCUAGGCCUUGACUAUGUUGUAUUGUCUCCAGUUUGUAGCCCUCUACCGUGAUGUCAUGCCUCCAGUCUGUAGGCCUCCACUAUGUUGUCAUGACUCCAGUCUGUAGGCCUCCACUAUGUUGUCAUGUCUCCAGUCUGUAGGCCUCGAAUAUGAUGUAAUGCCUCCAGUCUGUAGGUCUCCACUAUGUUGUAAUGUCUCCAGUCUGUAGGCCUCCACUAUGUUGUCAUAUCCCCAGUCUGCAGGCCUCCACUAUGUUGUCAUGUCUCCAGUCUGUAGGCCUCCACUACGUUGUCAUAUCUCCAGUCUAGUGGUCUCCAGUCUGUAGGCCUCCACUAUGAUGUCAUGUCCCCAGUCCGUAGUCCUCCACUAUAAUGUAAUGUCCCCAGUCCGUCGUCCUCCACUAUGAUGUAAUGCCUCCAGUCUGUAGGCCUCCACUAUGUUGUCAUAUCCCCAGUCUGCAGGCCUCCACUAUGUUGUCAUGACUCCAGUCUGUAGGUCUCCACUAUGUUGUAAUGUCUCCAGUCUGUAGGCC